rnacentral:rRNA from 1 species
CGCUGGCGGCGUGCUUAACACAUGCAAGUCGAGCGAUGAAGCACCUUCGGGUGUGAAUUAGCGGCGAACGGGUGAGGAACACGUGAGAAAUCUGCCUUCAACACUGGGAUAACUCCGGGAAACCGGGGCUAAUACCGGAUAUGAAACCUGCGGGCAUCCGCGGGUUUGGAAGGUUUUUCGGUUGAAGAUGAUCUCGCGGCCUAUCAGCUUGUUGGUGAGGUAAUGGCUCACCAAGGCGACGACGGGUAGCCGGCCUGAGAGGGCGACCGGCCACACUGGGACUGAGACACGGUCCAGACUCCUACGGGAGGCAGCAGUGGGGAAUUUUCCGCAAUGGGCGAAAGCCUGACGGAGCAAUACCGCGUGAGGGAAGGAUGCCUAUGGGUUGUAAACCUCUUUUUCAGGGAGGAAUCAAAUGACGUGUACCUGAAGAAUAAGCAUCGGCUAACUCCGUG